rnacentral:rRNA from 1 species
GACGUAGGGCGCGAGCGUUGUCCGGAUUUAUUGGGCGUAAAGAGCUCGUAGGCGGUUUGUCGCGUCUGCCGUGAAAGUCCGGGGCUCAACUCCGGAUCUGCGGUGGGUACGGGCAGACUAGAGUGAUGUAGGGGAGACUGGAAUUCCUGGUGUAGCGGUGAAAUGCGCAGAUAUCAGGAGGAACACCGGUGGCGAAGGCGGCGCGCUGGAUCUCUUCUGACGCUGAGGCGCGAAAGCCAGGGGAGCGAACGGG